GUAGGGAAUAUUGGACAAUGGGGGCAACCCUGAUCCAGCGACGCCGCGUGAGUGACGAAGGCCUUCGGGUCGUAAAGCUCUGUUGCAAGGGAAAAACAAAAUGAUGGUACCUUGCUAGAAAGGAUCGGCUAACUUCGUGCCAGCAGCCGCGGUAAGACGAGGGAUCCUAGCGUUGUUCGGAAUUAUUGGGCGUAAAGCGGGUGUAGGUGGCUUUGUAAGUCAGGUGUGAAAGCCUGGGGCUUAACCCCAGAAGUGCAUUUGAUACUGCGAAGCUUGAGUGCUGGAGAGGCUACUAGAAUUCUUGGUGUAGUGGUGAAAUACGUGGAUAUCAAGAGGAAUACCGGAGGCGAAGGCGGGUAGCUGGCCAGACACUGACACUCAGACCCGAAAGCGUGGGGAUCAAACAGGAUUAGAUACCCGGGUAGUCC
rnacentral:rRNA from 1 species